CGGCGUGCCUAUACAUGCAAGUCGAACGAACUCUGGUAUUGAUUGGUGCUUGCAUCAUGAUUUACAUUUGAGUGAGUGGCGAACUGGUGAGUAACACGUGGGAAACCUGCCCAGAAGCGGGGGAUAACACCUGGAAACAGAUGCUAAUACCGCAUAACAACUUGGACCGCAUGGUCCGAGUUUGAAAGAUGGCUUCGGCUAUCACUUUUGGAUGGUCCCGCGGCGUAUUAGCUAGAUGGUGGGGUAACGGCUCACCAUGGCAAUGAUACGUAGCCGACCUGAGAGGGUAAUCGGCCACAUUGGGACUGAGACACGGCCCAAACUCCUACGGGAGGCAGCAGUAGGGAAUCUUCCACAAUGGACGAAAGUCUGAUGGAGCAACGCCGCGUGAGUGAAGAAGGGUUUCGGCUCGUAAAACUCUGUUGUUAAAGAAGAACAUAUCUGAGAGUAACUGUUCAGGUAUUGACGGUAUUUAACCAGAAAGCCACGGCUAACUACGUGCCAGCAGCCGCGGUAAUACGUAGGUGGCAAGCGUUGUCCGGAUUUAUUGGGCGUAAAGCGAGCGCAGGCGGUUUUUUAAGUCUGAUGUGAAAGCCUUCGGCUCAACCGAAGAAGUGCAUCGGAAACUGGGAAACUUGAGUGCAGAAGAGGACAGUGGAACUCCAUGUGUAGCGGUGAAAUGCGUAGAUAUAUGGAAGAACACCAGUGGCGAAGGCGGCUGUCUGGUCUGUAACUGACGCUGAGGCUCGAAAGUAUGGGUAGCAAACAGGAUUAGAUACCCUGGUAGUCCAUACCGUAAACGAUGAAUGCUAAGUGUUGGAGGGUUUCCGCCCUUCAGUGCUGCAGCUAACGCAUUAAGCAUUCCGCCUGGGGAGUACGGCCGCAAGGCUGAAACUCAAAGGAAUUGACGGGGGCCCGCACAAGCGGUGGAGCAUGUGGUUUAAUUCGAAGCUACGCGAAGAACCUUACCAGGUCUUGACAUACUAUGCAAAUCUAAGAGAUUAGACGUUCCCUUCGGGGACAUGGAUACAGGUGGUGCAUGGUUGUCGUCAGCUCGUGUCGUGAGAUGUUGGGUUAAGUCCCGCAACGAGCGCAACCCUUAUUAUCAGUUGCCAGCAUUAAGUUGGGCACUCUGGUGAGACUGCCGGUGACAAACCGGAGGAAGGUGGGGAUGACGUCAAAUCAUCAUGCCCCUUAUGACCUGGGCUACACACGUGCUACAAUGGAUGGUACAACGAGUUGCGAACUCGCGAGAGUAAGCUAAUCUCUUAAAGCCAUUCUCAGUUCGGAUUGUAGGCUGCAACUCGCCUACAUGAAGUCGGAAUCGCUAGUAAUCGCGGAUCAGCAUGCCGCGGUGAAUACGUUCCCGGGCCUUGUACACACCGCCCGUCACACCAUGAGAGUUUGUAACACCCAAAGUCGGUGGGGUAACCUUUUAGGAACCAGCCGCCUAAGGGUG
rnacentral:rRNA from 1 species